rnacentral:rRNA from 1 species
ACUCCUACGGGAGGCAGCAGUAACGAAUCUUCCGCAAUGCGCGAAAGCGUGACGGGGCAAUGCCGCGUGCAGGAUGAAGCCCUUCGGGGUGUAAACUGCUGUCAGGGUGCAGGAAUGAAAUGACCAUACCCAAAGGAAGCACCGGCUAACUCUGUGCCAGCAGCCGCGGUAAU